CGCUGGCGGCGUGCCUAAUACAUGCAAGUCGAACGGUCUUUCUAUGGAAGCUUGCUUCCACUGAGAAGAUAGUGGCGAACGGGUGAGUAACACGUGGGUAACCUGCCCAUAAGAGGGGGGAUAACAUCCGGAAACGGGUGCUAAUACCGCAUAGUUUUCUUGAUCGCAUGAUUGAGAAAGGAAAGACGGCCUUUGUGCUGUCGCUUAUGGAUGGACCCGCGGCGUAUUAGUUAGUUGGUGAGGUAACGGCUCACCAAGACGAUGAUACGUAGCCGACCUGAGAGGGUGAUCGGCCACAUUGGGACUGAGACACGGCCCAAACUCCUACGGGAGGCAGCAGUAGGGAAUCUUCCGCAAUGGACGAAAGUCUGACGGAGCAACGCCGCGUGAGUGAAAGAAGGUUUUCGGAUCGUAAAACUCUGUUGUCAGAGAAGAACAAGUCGGAGAGUAACUGCUCCGGCCUUGACGGUAUCUGACCAGAAAGCCACGGCUAACUACGUGCCAGCCGCCGC
rnacentral:rRNA from 1 species